AUUAUUUUGGCAGAUUAGUGCAAUGAAUUUAGAAUUCAUAUAUGUAGUUUAUUACAAAUAAUA
rnacentral:tRNA from 1 species